UGAAAUCCUGAUUACAACAUUUGCUGCAGGACUUGUCACUUCAGCUAUUGGUUUGUUCCAUACUUUUUCAUGGCCAAGAAGCUUCAAUAGAACGUGGAAUUACAACACUUUCUAGUAGUGGACUGUUUCUCUUGAUGUCCUUCCCGAUAUGGCUCCAAACUCAUAUCCAGUGCCUAACUCGUCUGACUGGAGACUGUCGAAAAGUAAUGGUGUCCGUACCUAAAGUAAUGUUUCUCCAAUCUCGUCGUCCAUAUUUCUGGGGUAGGUUGCUUCUAGCAUCAGAUAAAUAUGGAGAGGUGAUUGGAGAAAUAUUUUUAGGUGUUAUGUUCUAAUGAGCAUUUGCUACAGGACUUGUCACUUCAGCAAUUGGCAUGCCCCAUACUUGUUUUGAUGGAACAUGGCAUUACAAUACUUUCUAGUGGUGGACUGUUUCUCUUCCUGUCCUUCCGGAUAUGGCUCCAAACUCCAAUCCAAGACUGUGGAACAGUAAUUACGUCCAUAUCUAAAGUAAUAUUUCUCCAAUCACCUUUGCCAUAUUUCUCGGAUAGGUUCCUUCUUGUAGCAUCAGAGAAAUAUGGAGAGGUGAUUGGAGAAAUAUUUUUAGGUGUUAUGUGCUGAUGAGCUAAUGCUAACCGGUGAUUGGAGAAAUAUUUUUAGGUGUUGUGUGCUGCUGAGCUAAUGCUAACAAUUGGUAUGUCCAUACCUGUUCAUGGCCAAGUUGCUUCUAUAUGUCGUGCAAUUGCCACACUUUUUAGUUGUAGAUUAUUUCUUUACGCAUCCUUCCGGUUCACCGUGGUUGCUGCAAAGAAGACCGUAAGUGUCUCUUCUUUAUCAAUAUUUGUGUAGGAAUCGGAUCAUGAAAAUGCGUGUCAUUUGUUUGUGGUAAAUGUUAAACAAGGGCUUGUUGUUGUGAAUUUUGCAGAAGAAGACUCAUGAUGGCAUUAACAAUAGGCUUACUCUCUUGUUAUGUAAAGCGGCAUAUAUACAUUGGGAUACAAAACUGUUCUCAAGACCAUUAGAAUCUCCAAAGGUAUGUAUAGUGAACUCAAUCACUCUUCAGUUUUUUCAAUUUUAACCAAUCAGAUCUUAGUUUUUGAUAUUUAGUUAAACCAAUUAAACAAUAGGCAAACGUUGUAAUCACUGUCUCAAGAAGCUAACCACAUACUUCUUACCUAGACUGUUCAAAUUGAGCAGUCGCUAUGACUGGUAGCAGCCUUCAUAAAUAAUUAAGGGGAAAUCUGGAAUGUGUGUCUACAUCAAUGCUGGCUAGUUUAAUAGCGACGUUAAUUAGAAAUUGGUGCUUGUAUCAUCAAUUUCAAUUGAAGGACCACCGUAAUCUAAUCUCUACCAUUCUUUGGGGCGGUGCGAGUACCAGGUUUAUCAGUCAUAUCGUCUUAUCAGAUUGCUUUCGCUUUUGUGCCUAUCAGAUUUGAUCAACUGAAAUCCUGAUUAUCCUCUCUUUCUUUUCAGUCUUUGCCCGUUACCGUUGAUGUGGGUACAAACAAUACGAAUUUGUUGAACGAUGAAUUUUACAUUGGGCUAAGGCAAAGAAGAGCUACAGGACAGGUUCACAGAUUUUUAUGCCUGAUCAUGCUUACUUUAUCAUACUUUUUGUAGAGGAUGUAAUAUUUCCUUAAUGUACUUUGUUUGAUCCUGUUUUCCGUGUUCAGGAAUAUGCUGAACUUUUAGAUGAAUUUAUGUACGCCGUCAAGCAGAAUUAUGGGGAGAAAUUGCUCAUUGAGGUUGCUUCUUCAAGCGUCCGAGAAUUAUAGAAGAGGUGAUUGGAGAAAUAUUUUUAGGUGUUAUGUGAUAAUGAGCUUUUGCUGCAGGACUUGUAACUUCAGCAAUUUGUAUGGCCCAUACUUGUUCAUGGCCAAGUAACUUCGAUAGAACGUGGAAUUACAACACUUUCUAGUGGUGGACUGUUUCUCUUCCCGUCCUUCCGGAUACGGCUCCAAACUCAUAUCCAGUGCCUAACUCGUCUGACUGGAGACUGUCGAAAAGUAACGGCGUCCAUGCCUAAAGUAAUAUUUCUCCAAUCUCCCCGUCCAAAUUUCUCGGGUAGGUUGCUUCUUCUAGCAUCAGAGAAAUUUGGAGAGGUGAUUGGAGAAAUAUUUUUAGGUGUUAUGUGCUGAUGAGCUAAUGCUAACAAUUGGUAUGACCAUACUUGUUCAUGGAGAAAUUGCUUCUAUAUGUCGUGCAAUUGCCGCACUUUUUCAUUGUAGAGUAUUUCUUCUUGCAUCCUUCCGGUCCACCGUGGUUGCUUCAAAGAAGACCGUAAGUAUCUCUUCUUUAUCACUAUUUGUGUAGGAAUCGGAUCAUGAAAAUGCGUGUCGUUUGUUUGUGGUACAUGUUAAACAAGGGCUUAUUGUUGUGAAUUUUGCAGAAGAAGACUCAUGAUGGCAUUAACAAUAGGCUCACGCUCUUGUUAGGUGAAGCAGCAAUUAUACAUUGGGAUACAAAACUCUUCUCAAGACCAUUAGAAGCUCCAAAGUCUUUUUCCGUUAGCGUUUAUGUGGGUACAAAUAAUAAGAAUUUGUUGAACGAUGAAUUUUACAUUGGGCUAAGGCAAAGAAUAGCUUCAGGACAGGUUCAGCGAUUUUUACUCCUGAUCAUGCUUACUUUAUCAUACUUUUUUAUAGAGGAUGUAAUAUUUCUUUAAUGUACUUUGUUUGAUCCUGUUUUCCGUGUUCAGGAAUAUGCCGAAAUUUUAGAUGAAUUUAUGUAUGCCGUCAUGUAGAAUUAUGGGGAGAAAGUGCUCAUUCAGGUAGAUGUUUUCUGGCAAAAAUUGCAGAUAAGUGUAUUUGAGAAUCUACUCUCUUAAUAGGAUCGGUUACAUGAAAAUAUAUCUAAGUAUAGAUAAUCUGGGGAUUCAAAACAAGUUUAUAUGUAGUGAGUUGCGAGGGAAAACCCGAUAUCUGUCACUGGGCUUACUAUUAACUAUGGAUUUAACUGUCUGCUUGAGAUGUAAUAGUUCAGGUGGUGAUGCAGAUCUCUAGAUUAGCUUAUGUUCUGAUGCAUAUCUGUUGUGCUGCGUGGUUUCUCUUGCCUGUUAUGGUUUCUUAUGGUGUGAUCUUGUUGAUUCAUGCUUUUAGUCCUGAAGAGAACUAUAUUUUGUGGUGAAACACCUCCUAGUGAAUUUGGAGGUCAUCACAUUGGUAGAGUGCUUUCAUUUUGUUGGCACAGUUACAGUUCUUAUGCUUAAUAUGUUUAACAUUGUUUCAGACAAUGUAGAUUUGGGGACUGCUUGUGGUAAAUACUUCAAAGUCUGUUGCCUCAGUAUUAUUGACCCAGGUGAUUCUAAUAUUAUUAAUAGCCUGGUGACCAGUGAGGCUGUGUUGGAUUGGAUGCAAUUCUGGAUCCUCCACUCAAAAGUUGCCAAUUGUUAUCAUGAAAAGUAGCUACUACAGAUGAGUUUGGAGCCUGUUGAAAAGUAAUGGCAUCCAUACCUAAAGUAAUAUUCCUCCAAUCUCCUCGUCCAUAUUUCUCGGGUAGGUUUCUUCUUCUGGCAUCAGAAAAAUAUGGAGAGGUGAUUGGAGAAAUAUUUUUAGGUGUUAUGUGCUAAUGAGCAUUUGCUACAGGACUUGUCGCUUCAGCAAUUGGUAUGUCCGAUACUUGUCAUGGCCAAGUAGCUUCGACAGAACGUGGAAUUACAACACUUGCUAGUGCUGGACUGUUGCUCUUCCUGUCUUUCCGGACAUGGCUCCAAACUCAUAUCCAGUGCCUAAUUCCUAUGAUCGGAGACUGUUGAAAAGUAAUGGCGCCCAUACCUAAAGUAAUAUUUCUCCAAUAUCCUCGCCCAUAUUUCUCGGGUAGGUUGCUUCUUCUAGCAUCAGAGAAAUAUGGAGAGGUGAUUGGAGAAAUAUUUUUAGGUGUUAUGUGCUAAUAAGCUAAUGCUAACAAUUGGUAUGUCCAUACCUAUUCAUGGCCAAGUAGCUUCGAUAUGUCAUGCAAUUGCAACGAUUUUUAGUUGUACAGUAUUUCUCUUCGUAUUCUUCCGGAUAUGACUCCAAACUCAUAUGAGAUGUCGUUUCCUCACACCGGAAUCCACCAUGGUUGCUGCACAGAAGACCGGAAGUACUCAUGAAAGCAUUAACAAUAGGCUCACUUUUGUUAUGAAGAGGGGCAAAUACACAUUGGGAUGCAAAACUCUUCUCAAGACCAUUAGAAGCUCCAAAGCAAAACUUGCUACUAUUGCCAACAAUUGUCCUCCUAUCAGGAAGUCCGAGAUAAGAGUACAAUGCUAUGUUUGCAGAGGUUGGAGUUCUCCACUACAACGGAAGUGUGUCCAUGUCAUUCAUUACAUUCGUUUAGAUAUCUAUAUAUCUCUUUAUGCUCACAAAGUCACAAUGUGUCCUUGGCGUUCUUUUGAUAUGGUUUUCAACACAUGGCUUUCAAGAAGUGAUUUUCUUUCUUUUG